GCCCUUGUAGCUCAACUGGUAGAGCACCUGAUUUGUAAUCAGGGGGUUGCGGGUUCAAGUCCUGCCGGGGGCACCA
rnacentral:tRNA from 2 species